rnacentral:rRNA from 1 species
UACUGCUGUACCACCUUGAACACACCAACUUUAUUUUGGUUUAGAAGCUAAGGAGGUCAGGCCUGGUUAGUACCUGGAUAGAGCAUCACCAGGGAAUACCAGGGACUACGUAU